rnacentral:rRNA from 1 species
UACGUAGGGUGCGAGCGUUGUCCGGAAUUAUUGGGCGUAAAGGGCUCGUAGGCGGUUGUCGCGUCGGGAGUGAAACAUCCAGCUUAACUGGGUGCUUGCUUUCGAUACGGCAGACUAGAGUGCAGUAGGGGAGACUGGAAUUCCUGGUGUAGCGGUGAAAUGCGCAGAUAUCGAGGAGGAACACCGAUGGCGAAGGCAGGUCUCUGGGCUGUAACUGGACGCUGAGGAGCGAAAGCAUGGGGAGCGAACAGG